UCCCAACCCUUUAAACCCUUGUUGCUGGGGGAUUCAUUGAACUCAGAGUCGAAAACAAUGGCUUGGCGCUCCGGAUCCCUUUCGAGAUCUCUGCUCUCUACCGUCAGAUCCUCCCCAAUCCGACGCUCAUCCUCCUCUUCAUCAUCCCUACCCGGUCUCCUCCGUCCUCCGGUUCCACCUCGGCCACACCGCCGCCCAGUCUUCUCCACUGCCAGGACCAUGGCGGGAGAGAUGGGGAGCAUUCAAUUGCUGGUGCCGCUGCACAGUCUCGCCGUCGCUCGUCUCACUUCACACAUUUCCAUCCAGGCGCGCGCUUUCUGCGAGUUGUCUCAGGGUUCGUAAUUUCCAGGGUCGCUCGCUCAUUUUCCCUUUUCGUUGUACUUGAAGAGACUGUUGGUUCUGCACGCUGGUGCUAUAUCUUAUGUAGAACGCCAUUCUUGUCUUCAUGGAGAGUAUUGGGAGUACUUAAGAGCGUUUUCAAUUAGAUGGGUUCCAAAACUGUCCUGCUCUUUGGACAAAGGGCUCCUGCUUUUUAUUAUGAACUCAUACAAGUUUAUUUUUUAUUGAUACCGGGUGUCCAAAAAUAAAGUCCCGACUAAUCCUAGGGGUGCACAGGCCCUCGGCAGGGAGUAUGAACUCAUAAAAGUUUCGUGAUAGAUUAUUGAAAAUUCUAUCAUGGGCUGCCAUUUGUUUGACUUUAUGGGCAAAUUUUAGGUUGGAUAUUCAGCAGCAGCGGAAGGUUUUGGAAUUAAAUUAUUGAGCCCUAGUGAGAACCAGGAAUUUAAUGCAAUGUCAUUGAACUGGGGAAAAGAAAUGGUUCACAUGCCAAAUGUAGUUUUGUUUUUGGGGCAACACUUCUAUUGUUGUGAUGAGCAUAUGAAAUUUUAGGUAUCUGACUUGUCAAAAAAAAAAUUUUAGGUAUCUGACUUUCUUUGGAUUGCUCGUGCAUGUCAAUUACCCUCACUUGAAUGCCACUUCCAAGUCAUGUAUGGUGUUAAUAAACUACUAUUUUACAUUUCUUACAAAAUACCAUUGCUGAAUCAAACAUGUGCAUAGAACGAAACGAUUCCUGAAUUCAUAUACAUUGCUUCAAAAUGAGAAAAAAUAAAGAUGCAUGCAGUUUAGUCAUAAUGGCAUGGCUUUGGAUCUAAACAGAGCUUACUGAAUCUUGCAGCUAUACUUUCCCACCCGUGCUGCGUCAUCUGGGGCAGAAUUUCUUAUGCCUUGUAUUCUCCCACUUAAAUUAGGUGGUUAACUAUUCUUUGGGGAUGAAUAUGAAUCAGAUUGAUCGACUUCCUGGUUCAAUGUGUGGGAUGGAGAAGUAACUAUUGGUAAAAUGUAGUAUGAUGCGGAGGAACAGGGCUCAGAAUGGGUUAAGAGUUAGUGCUAAUGUACUCUAAAGUGUUAUUAUUCUUAAGCACAUGCAGGUGUUAGAAACCCGCCAGGCACUCUGUCCCGCACUUACUUUUCCCUCUCCAGUGUCCUGUCUCCCUUCAUUUCAGACGUGGCGACAAAAUAUGGGUCUUCCAUGGUGAUGUGCUUCUCUUUCAAUCUGAAUCUUGAAGUUGAGAGAAAGGAGGAAAGCAUGCUCCUAGUUGUUUUCAGCUACUCUCUGUACUUUGGACACUUCCCAUGUUUUAUUGACAAAGCGUUUCAUUUUUCAAAACUUUAGGAUUAGCCCCUUUUCACGCCUCUUAUAGUGGAAUGAAACGAGAAUUUGACGUUUCUCACUCCUAAAAUCGUUCCUUUGAUGUACAUAAGCUGCCUGCAAACGUGUAAUAUGUUCAGGGAAAUUAGAUGAGAUGAUACAGCAUUCUUUUA